GCCGGUUUGGCUCAGUGGUUGAGCCUCAGCCUGGGGACUGAAGGGUCCCAGGUUCAAUUCCUGGUCAGGGCA
rfam:Myotis lucifugus cont2.53310, whole genome shotgun sequence.